rnacentral:rRNA from 1 species
UACAGAGGGGGCUAGCGUUGCUCGGAAUCACUGGGCGUAAAGCGCACGUAGGCGGGUCGUUAAGUCGGGUGUGAAAUCUCGGAGCUUAACUCCGAAGCUGCAUUCGAUACUGCCGUGCUUGAGGACUGGAGAGGAGACUGGAAUUUACGGUGUAGCGGUGAAAUGCGUAGAUAUCGUAAGGAAGACCAGUGGCGAAGGCGGGUUGCUGGGCCGACACUGACGCUGAUGCGCGAAAGCCAGGGGAGCGAACGGG